GACGAACGCUGGCGGCGUGCUUAACACAUGCAAGUCGAACGGAAAGGCCCUGCUUUUGUGGGGUGCUCGAGUGGCGAACGGGUGAGUAACACGUGAGUAACCUGCCCUUGACUUUGGGAUAACUUCAGGAAACUGGGGCUAAUACCGGAUAGGAGCUCCUGCUGCAUGGUGGGGGUUGGAAAGUUUCGGCGGUUGGGGAUGGACUCUCGGCUUAUCAGCUUGUUGGUGGGGUAGUGGCUUACCAAGGCUUUGACGGGUAGCCGGCCUGAGAGGGUGACCGGCCACAUUGGGACUGAGAAACGGCCAGGACUCCUACGGGAGGCAGCAGUGGGGAAUAUUGCACAAUGGGCGGAAGCCUGAUGCAGCAACGCCGCGUGCGGGAUGACGGCCUUCGGGUUGUAAACCGCUUUCGCCUGUGACGAAGCGUGAGUGACGGUAAUGGGUAAAGAAGCACCGGCUAACUACGUG
rnacentral:rRNA from 1 species